ensembl:lncRNA
GAGAGAGAGGUAGAGAGAGAGAGGUAGAGAGAGAGAGAGAGAGGUAGAGAGAGAGAGGUAGAGAGAGAGAGGUAGAGAGAGAGAGGUAGAGAGAGAGAGAGAGAGGUAGAGAGAGAGAGAGAGAGAGGUAGAGAGAGAGAGAGGUAGAGAGAGAGAGGUAGAGAGGUAGAGAGAGAGAGAGAGAGAGGUAGAGAGAGAGAGGUAGAGAGAGAGAGGUAGAGAGAGAGGUAGAGAGAGAGGUAGAGAGAGGUAGAGAGAGGUAGAGAGAGAGAGGUAGAGAGAGGUAGAGAGAGAGAGGAGAGAGAGAGAGAGAGGUAGAGAGAGAGAGAGAGAGAGAGAGAGAGAGAGAGAGAGAGGUAGAGAGAGAGGUAGAGAGAGAGAGGUAGAGAGAGGUAGAGAGAGAGAGGUAGAGAGAGGUAGAGAGAGAGAGGUAGAGAGAGGUAGAGAGAG